AGUGAACGCUGGCGGUAGGCCUAACACAUGCAAGUCGAACGGCAGCACAGUAAGAGCUUGCUCUUACGGUUGGCGAGUGGCGGACGGGUGAGGCAUACAUCGGAAUCUACUUUUUCGUGGGGGAUAACGUAGGGAAACUUACGCUAAUACCGCAUACUACCUACGGGUGAAAGCAGAGGAUCUUCGGACCUUUCGCGAUUGAAUGAGCCGAUGUCGGAUUAGCUAGUUGGCGGGGUAAAGGCCCACCAAGGCGACGAUCCGUAGCUGGUCUGAGAGGAUGAUCAGCCACACUGGAACUGAGACACGGUCCAGACUCCUACGGGAGGCAGCAGUGGGGAAUAUUGGGCAAUGGGCGCAAGCCUGAUCCAGCCAUACCGCGUGGGUGAAGAAGGCCUUCGGGUUGUAAAGCCCUUUUGUUGGGAAAGAAAAGCAGCAGGUUAAUACCCCGCUGUUCUGACGGUACCCAAAGAAUAAGCACCGGCUAACUUCGUG
rnacentral:rRNA from 1 species